CCUCCAGUCCCAGUCGUCCGCCUAUGCACAGUGCUGCCAGUGGGACCUGUGAGCAGAGAUGCUGUGAGAUGGUAUCAGGGCUGGCCACUUAUGGUUCAAACGGCUUUCCUUCUGUUUCGUGCCAAGUGGUGGAUGUUAUGGGCAGCAAGGUUUUGACUCUAUUUGGAGAGAAUGAGAGCCAUUCAUCCCCAGUCUGGAUGAGGGUUCUGCAUUUCCCAAGGGUUCAGUGCCUAUGUUGGCAGGAUGGAAGAUCACUUGUCCAGAAAGUCCUCAAGGAAAGGAGCAGACGCAGGCCACGUGACCCUGUGGAUGGAGGUGUGGAGAGCACCUGGAGGGGCUGGAACUGGCUCUGCCAGGUGAAGAAGUCACAAAGGGCACGUCUCGGAGGUGCACCUGCAUCCCGGGCCUGUCCACACCUGUGUCUUCCGCAUCCACAGACACCAAUCGCACAGCAGCUGUGCAGGGCACAUGCACACACAGAGGUAAGCACACGCUGCCGCCCUGCGCCUCCCCAUCCUGGCCUUUAGCUCCUCUUCUCGGGGCUCCUGCUCUUCUCCCCUGUCCUGCCCCUGGGCAGUGUGCUCCUUGGCCCAGUGCUCAG
ensembl:lncRNA